UGUCGAGCAUUUUUAGCACAAUUAGCCGACAAGCAAUAGGGCUUACUAAGUGGAGUCAGAGUCAGUCCACUUAGUCCAGACUUGUUUCUAAACACUCGGCUUUAAAGCUCUGAAAACGUUGACAAAUUAGACAAAUUAGUCCAGAUUUUAUUUUUCUGUUGCGUUGCACUGAUUAGCAGUUAUGUUUCCGUGCAGUUACACCGAUGGAGCUUGUGAAUGCUGCUUGCUAACCACGCUGGCUAGCAUUAGCUUAUAGCAGUCAAUGUAGGAUAAACAAGUCUAGCUGUCCUUCAGCUGUAGCGAGUGUAGACUGCCAGUGAGCUGUUUACCUCAGCUGUCAAUAUGUGUCCAGACGAAGGCUCUACAACAAUACGAGUCAGUGGGUCACUGAAGCUUAUUCCUGCCUGACGAACCUGCCUGUAACCCAAGUGAAAAAUAUCCCAGAAGAACAAAGACGUCAAUGACAAACCUUCUGUCAUGGUCCGUGGCUCUGUGCCUGAGGAGUGCGUUGGAUGCCCCGGCGGCCACACCCCCUGCAUCUCAUCCCAGGCGAUUUGGUGGAGGAGUAUUUAACCCUGCACAGACAGCUGCUCCACGCUAGUCCAUCAGUCACUUCACAGUGGUUUCUGUCCGGCGUGCUGCGCUAGUCACCUGCCUGUCCUCCUGCCCGCUUGGACCUCCGAGUAUUCCACCUGUUCUCGUCUCCGCCUCCUCGGACUUACCUUCCACGGACGUACUCCCCUAUCCGGGUUCCACGGUCCGGCUCAGAUUGUAAGCCAGACUGCCUUCGCCCUGCACUCUAGUAACCUUUCCCCCUUUCUGUUGCAGCCUCCCACGGUCUCGACCACGGCUCCCCUGUGCCACUUUGCUUUCCUGGUUUUCUUUCGACUAGUUACUCAUUUCCCUGGGUUGUCUCGGG